UUACCGUGUGCUCCCUUGCAAGGAAGGCAUGUAGAGGGGCAACAAAGGAGUUGGUCUUUUCAGUGCACUGCUGUGUUAAGAGAUUUCAACAUUCCCAUCAAGAAGGCAUCUAGCCUUACAGAUCAGGACUGUCAUGGUCUCCAUGACAACCAUGGUGCUAUCCAAAUACAUCAGAGGCCCAACACACCUUUGUCAGUUUUGGAGACCAAGCAGGUUAGAUCUGUUAAAAACAUUAAAGGGAGUAGAUGGUACUCAGACUGUUGUCAUAGAUAGACCAUUGCUUGGUGAAGGUCGACAUAGUUGUGGUGCAAAGGUGGUGAACCUAUUGGAUACCUAUGAAAUUCAAAGGAUUCCUGAAGGCUCUGCAGGAUUUUCUGGCUAAAAUCCUGCCAGGGCUCCAGUCCUGUUCCUAUCAGGGCUCUAGUCUUGCUGUGGAAUGGCAAGAGGCAUAAGACAAUUGAUGUGAUCACACCAUAGUGCAAGUGGAAAAAAUCUUGACGAGAACCUGAUCUAAGAUAGGUGAGAGCAGUGCUUUUUUCUGGGGUGAUGCAAACCCCUAAACAUUUUGUGAAUCUAAUGGGAAAAGAAACUUUAAAAAAUUAAAUUGUUAGUUUCUUCUCUAGCAUGGAGAAUUAUCAGUUCCAUUGCUACCCCCAAUGGCGGCCUCAUUUCCUGUCAUGGUGUUUCCUGAGUCUCAGACGGAAGCGAGAGUUUAAUGUGUGAAGUAGGAGUUGGAAUAUAGCACGGUGAUCGGUCAGUUUUGUUGUUACCACCUCUGAUGGCAGCUUUAUUUCCUUUCUCAGUGAUUUUCUUGAGUCAAAAUGAGAGCACCCCUAAACAUAUUUUUAGGGGGGGAAAACCCACUGGGUGAGUAUAUUAUUUGAAUCUACCAUCUAGUGGUGAAUAAAGGUUACUACUUCUCCACUGAGUAGCUGUCCAACAGAGCUGUUCCAAAUUGUAAAUAGGCUUAUUACACCUGGCCAGUGGGGAAGAUUAAGUGAGUUGUCAGAAGACUGCUGUGAUACUUCUAUGAAGCACUUUGAGGAUAAAAUUAUUCAGAUUCAUAUAGAAUUAGAAACUGCAGUUAUAACAAAUUCUGAGAAGAUAUCCCAGGUCUUAUUUUUUGAUGUGUUUGUUAUCAUGGCAUGAAACACCACGGGCCCCUGAGAACAGGGAGAGUGCUAUCCUGCCUGUUCUCCUUGACCUCUUCGUGGAUUUUGAUACCAUGGACCACAGUAUCCUAUUGGAAUAAAGAGAUGGGGACUGGGGACAUGGCUUUACCAAAGUUCCACUCCUAGUUGCAGGAUUGAGUCCCAUGGGUUACAAAAGGUAGCAGGGAAAUCUCAACAGCAUCACAGUUGAGCUGUAGCAUGUUCCAUUUCGUUACCCAUUUUUUCAACACAUAUAUGAAGCAGUGGAAAGACGUCAUCAGGAGAUUUGCAUUAAGGUGUCAUCAGAAUGCUGCUUCACUCAGCUUCCUCCGUUGCAUCUCAAUCAAGGUGUCUGGAGGUGGCAAUAGACUGAAUAAGAGCCAACAAAUUCAAUUUUAAUCCAGAUAGAUGGCGGUACUAUGUUUGUUUGGUGUAUGAAACCUGUCCAGAAUAGGGUAGUGCUCGCCUGGAAAGAUCAACAGGAAAUAACUUGUUGGUGAUUCCAUCACCUCCAGGGGGCCUUUUUUGUGGUUCCCACACUCUCUGCCUUCUGAUAUUUGCCUGGCCCAAUUCUGGGGACUGUCAGAAAACACAAGGUUAUAUAUUUUGACUCAGGUUUUUGACUCAGAAAUUCUUGCUUACUUUCUGCAUGUAAUGUUAUCAGUUGAUUUCUAUUUUAACUGUUUAUUAUCUUUUGUAAGUUUAUUGUUUUAAUUGUGAUCCUUGGUAAGUAGCAGGCAAUUCAUAUGAAAAAUGAAUGUUAUUCUGCUUCCCCCUGUUCACAAAACAAUAAUCCUUUAGGGUAGGUGGUAAAAGAGACAAUAGACUGCAGCAAAGAAAAGCAGAAUUCAGCUCCACUUACUAAGGCAUGUCUUUUGAGGUUAAAAUUAGACAUCACAUUGCUUAAUAUGCCGACAUGUGAACAAAAAGAUAGCUUCUGCCAUCACAUCUAGUUUGGCCUUAAAAACAAAGAUUAAUCUAUUUUUCUUAGCAAUAAAAGAUAACCAGGCAGAAUUUAAGACUUUAUUAAGCACUGCUGUAAAGAAACAUGACUCAUAAUAUGGCUGUCAUUGAGGCCCGCUUAAUACACGACCAGGGUUAAAUAAACAAAGUUUGAUCAUGACUCUAAGCAGCAGGGUUCAGCUGAACUCAGUUACUGCCUGCACAAAAGGUCUAGCUGGAUGAAUAUUCAAACAAGGCUUUCAACCUCAUGAUUGUUGGAAUUUACUAAAGGAAAUUCCUUAGGACCUCAGUAGUUCAGUUCUCCAUGUUCUCCCUGGAAGAGAAGUGCGAGACCAAUGAUAACAGAAUCCGAUGGAAGAAAACCAUGGGGAAAGGGAACUGAGCCAGACCAAUACUGUCUAAAGAAGUCACCCUUUUUGGUUCCUGAAAUUCAUUUUGAUUGUGCAGAUAAAAUAUAACAGAUAGAAUUCCACAGGAUGUGAUGCUGGUGUAUGAAAACAGUCAAGAUCCAAGGAUCCCCAGGCAUGUACCAUCAGAUGGUGGAGACAUCAGGAGCCAUCCUGGUGCCCAGGCAUCUUCACUUGGUUGCAAAUGGUUGACAGCCAGGUGCAAAACACACCUGGCACCUGGCGAAUUUUGAACAUUGCAUCAAACCAUGUAAACUUUACCAGGCAUCCAUCACCCCAUAGCAUCCUUGCUUCAGCAUCCAGCUAUUGCAGGACUUCAGAUGUACAGUUAAACUCUCAGGGAAAAUAGCAAGUAUACUAUUAAAGCCACAAGAGUAAAUGCGUAUUUUCAAAUGAGAUUAUGAAGUAGCAGCACAGCUGCUUGGAUAAGAUCCUUUGGUUCAAAGGAAUGCCAUCCACAUUCAAAACUAUCAAUAUAUCCCUCUUUCAAACAAGAUGUUGUAAUAAAAAGUUAAGUCUCUGAAAACACACAUAGACAAAAGAUGUACCACUAAUGAGAAUGUGGUUGAAACUGGGCAAAAAGAUAUAGAUAUGAUGAGAGAAAACUCUGUUCAUAGUUUAGCCAAGAAAUGCCUUCAAAGUGAAAUUUAAGAAGUUCUUUGGUGCUUGUUUUUAACCUGCAGGCAAACCAAGUAUGGUUAUUUCCUCUUGCCUUACAUUCUGUAGGCUCCAGUCUUUCUAAUGCUUAUAAUCCCUUUGACAUUGAUUAUGCAUCUUCUGAAAAACAGAGGAAUAGUUUGGGUAGUAUGCCAAACAAUCAAUUGUACCUAGGUUCCUAUGGGAAUCCAGCCCAAAAGUUUAUUCUAUAAAUUAGAUAUAAUACCUCCUAUGGGAAGCAAAUGACAUAACAGAAUGAAAAACAUUUCCUGUUUGAGGAAUAUUUUUAGAUUGUUCAGAGCGCCAGAGAACAAAAAGAAAUAUGAUCUGGGUAACUGUUCACCAAAGCAGCUCCAAGCAGGGCUGCACACACACUCACCAUACAUUUAAAGCAUAUUAUGUCCACCAAAUAAUCAUGGGAACCGUAGUAUUUUUAAAAAAAUAGAGUGCUGGCAAUUGUAGGGGUAAACUACACUUACCAAUAAUAUUUUGGAGAAACAAUGUGUUUUAACAGUUUAGAUUGCAACUAGUGAAAUGUUGCAAGUGUGCCAUUUUGUUUUGUUUAAAAGAUAAUGCAUGAUACAAGACAAAUUCUAAGUGUAAGUAAUAAGAACAAACUAAUAACUAAAACUAAGGAGUCAAAUUACCUUGGCAUUAGCAAAGUAGUACAGGGACCACCACAACAUUCAAGUAGCAUUUGACAUGGGCCUAGUUUAAGUACCACUGGCAGAGUAAGGGGAGAAGUAUCAGAGGGGAGAGGUAUAACUAUACUUUGCCCAUUAAGGUGAAAGGUUUUUGUUUAUAUUUCAGUGCAUCCAGCUAGGCUGUGUUCUGCUUUUCCAAACUAUUACUUCCAAGCCAAACUUGAAAACAAAAUAGUCUUCAGUCAAUGGAUCACCUACUGUGUAAGAGGAAUUAACAAUAAAUGUUUCUAGCGGUUCCUGAACCAGAUAUUAAGAAAUUCAGGGUUGCUUGCCAGAUGGCAAACUUAGGAGCUUUCAGUUUAAAUAGCAGAACAACAAUCGGCUAUCUUUAUUUGAACACUUAAUCACAUUGGCAGAUAAUAUUGUAAUCCUCCUUGGGCCAUGUACAACACAAGCAUGCAAGAUGUAUCUGUAAGACAAGGACAAUCCACUUGAAAUCUGAACAUAUCUUAUUGCUGGCUCUUUCAAGAGUCUAUUUACAGAAUCAUAACCAAGGAAAGGAGUGUAUAUGCAAAAGAACAGGUGCUGCUUUUGGAGGAUAGCUCAAGUCUUUCUUGAAGGACAAUAGCACACAAUCUAGGUCACAUAUAGUGUAGGCAUGAAGCCUUGCUUGCAUUUCUCACACCACAUUUUCCAGAAAGAUCGUUCAGGUUCACUCCAAUGCAUCCUAACUGGGGCCAAUGGGAAUUGUAGUCCAAAACACCUUGAGGGGAUUGGGUUGGCAAAUGCAGCAUUAAAAGGGUAGUCCCAAAGGGUCGUAAAUGAACUACCCUGAUCAGGAAGUUUGCUGUAUUAUUUUGCUCCAUGGGUUUUACCUUCCAUUUUGCUCUUGAUUUCUAUAGUAAUCCCUGUGUUUAUGAAUACUUGUAGUUUCUAUUUUGUUAAUGUUGAAAAUCAAUUAAAAAUAUAUUUUAAAAGUGGUUCUGAGGCUCUAUCAGUUUUGUUAUCCAACAAAUACCUUUGUUUAGAAGGGCAUUGUAAUGAGUAUGGGUUGCUCGUGCGUAAGUUGCCGCCUCUCCUGGCUAUGUUGCCUUGUUAAACCUUUCUGUCUGGACAGCCCUUCACUUCGUGGCUGCCUCAGUCGCUAGCAGAAUCCGUCAGUGGGCGUUUCUUAAACCUUUUCCAACAUAAAAGUUGUUUGACGCCAAGUCUCCUCCUACUCUCCCUGCGCGGAAGUCUUCUGCGCAGGGAGGGCGUGGGUAGCGGAGGACCCGUGCUCUCCCCGCUGGUGUCCGGUGAAGAGUCCUGGAGCCCUCUCGCCGAUUCCCCAUCUGCCCCUUUUAUCCCUGGUGUUGCGCUGAUUUGCUUCCCCAUCUGCUGAGCUGCCUCUCUCCCUGCUGGGCCCUUCUCCAGCAUCAUUUGAGAGCCUUCCCUCCGCCUCUAGCUCCGAUGUCAGUUCCCUGACAGGCAUGAAUGCGGUGCAUGAAAGCCCCAUUCCCAGUAUCCACAUCCCCACAGGAGACUCUCACAAACUAAGUACAAAAGUUUGAAAUGGCCUCGAAACUGCAUCUAACUGAUCCAGAAUCCAAUGUUAUCAAGGGUCCAAAUCCGACGCUUCUAAGCACAUUCAUUCAAACACUCUUAGAAGCCCCAUUCUUCUGCUCAACAUGGAAAAGUCAAGGUAGCACAUGCUGGAUAUGGAUGUUUGGGGCAGGAGCAGUGCACAUGCAGGACAAGAACUUUGGAGAUAGGAUAUAAACUCUAUACCCUCUGCACACUUACUCCACCCACACACUGCCUGAACACCCAAAACAGGGCCUGAGGUAUCUUCCUAUCAGGUUCACAAUAAUUUCCUUUGUGGGUUCCCCAUGGAUUCUGCAAUGUACACAAUGUACAACUGUCAUGACUCCACAAGAUGCAGAAAAAGUUGCUCUUCAGUAUCACCCUUCUAAUCAUUAUGAGGGACUUGUUUUGAAAUCUGAGGACCAUAAAAGCCUUUUGUGUAGAUAGCUGGUCAUAAAAAUAACUUGCGAAUAGGAACAGGUAAGGGUAGGGGUAGAAUACCACAGGUAAGGAGACAAUAAUCAAGCAAAUUUCUAUCUAUAUCUUUCACCCUCAAAUCGUUUUCCACAGACGUAUGAAUCUACUUGACAGUCAAUUGACAGUCAAUACAUAAAGUCUGUGUUUUAAUUUUACAGCAGUACUCCUCACAAUCUGCUUGUUCAAGAUUUUGAGCCUCACCUGCCUUUCAUCCAGCCAAUGCUAGUUAAUGAAAAGCAGAAAGACUGUCCUGAGAAUACACAUCUUGACAACUCAAAAACAAUCUGUGGUCUAUAGAAGCAGCAGGAGUUUCUAAUGGCACACCUAAGGAAGACUGAAAACUUCAUUUGAGGGAUUUUUAGCUGGUCUGUUUCAUAUCAUCCAAAGUGCCUAUAAAAUAGAUGUGCAAGUAAAGUUCUAGUAAAUAUCCUAAGGAAAUCAUGUUCCGCUCCAACUUAAGGGUAUAACCAACACUGUAUCUUACAGAUGUUACUAGUCUGCAACUCCCAUCAGUGCCAGACAGCAUUGC